rnacentral:misc_RNA from 1 species
AAAGCUACAAGCGCGAAGUGUUUGUAGAUGUUGCAGGUGAAGUUGAUCGAAGAAUUGCAUUUGGUCAGCUGAAAAGAUUUGCAUGGAGGGAACUACAGCUAGCCACAGACAACUUUAGCGAGAAAAAUGUUUUAGGACAAGGAGGCUUUGGAAAGGUGUACAAAGGGGUGCUUGCAGAUGGCACCAAAGUUGCUGUGAAACGGUUGACUGAUUAUGAAAGUCCGGGGGGAGAUGCUGCUUUUCAG